rnacentral:rRNA from 1 species
UACGUAGGGCGCAAGCGUUGUCCGGAAUUACUGGGCGUAAAGAGCUCGUAGGCGGUUUGUCGCGUCUGCUGUGAAAACCUAAGGCUCAACCUUGGGCUUGCAGUGGGUACGGGCAGACUAGAGUGCGGUAGGGGUGACUGGAAUUCCUGGUGUAGCGGUGGAAUGCGCAGAUAUCAGGAGGAACACCGAUGGCGAAGGCAGGUCACUGGGCCGCAACUGACGCUGAGGAGCGAAAGCAUGGGGAGCGAACAGG